ACUCUACAAAUGUGCAUAUUCUUAGCAAAUAUGAGUGGACAACUACAAAGAGUGAAUUUAAUAGUUUUCCUUGUACCUUAUCCUGUUGAGUCACAGAGUCCCAAUCAUCAACAAGUUGAUUCAGGGCUUCUACCAAUGGUUCCGCCGCAACCACGCAACCACCGCCGCAGCUCCGUCUACCAAUGGUUCCGCCGCAGCUCCGUCAGUGCGAGGAAGAGACGAUGAGUUUAGGGUUCAGGAAGAAAACGAGAAAGAAAUAAGGGUGUAGUCUGCGAGGAAGAAAGCGAGAAAGGAAUGAAAGGGAUUUUAGGGUUCAAGUGUGAUUUUGAGAAGGAGAUGAGUGUCGGGAUCAAUGAGAUUUUGAGAAGGAGAUGAGUGUCGGGAUCAAUGAAACAGAAACGUAAAAAAUUAGGACAUUCUCGAAGCAUUAAAACUCCUUUGAAAUAGAGGGGGUUAUAAACCUCCUUUAAAAAUCAUUAAAACUCCCAUUACCAUUAACACCUUCAUGAUUUAAAUUAAACAUUAUGAAAUAUAUUAAUUUGAGGGGGUUUUUCAUAACCUCCUCUAAAUAACCCCCUCUAAAUAAGUUUUUUUUUGUAGUG
rnacentral:lncRNA from 1 species